rnacentral:rRNA from 1 species
GAUGAACGCUGGCGGCGUGCUUAACACAUGCAAGUCGAACGGUGAAGCAGGAGCUUGCUCUUGUGGAUCAGUGGCGAACGGGUGAGUAACACGUGAGCAACCUGCCCCUGACUCUGGGAUAAGCGCUGGAAACGGCGUCUAAUACUGGAUAUGUGAUGUGACCGCAUGGUCUGCAUCUGGAAAGAAUUUCGGUUGGGGAUGGGCUCGCGGCCUAUCAGCUUGUUGGUGAGGUAAUGGAUCACCAGGGCGUGGACGGGUAGCCGGCCUGAGAGGGUGACCGGCCACACUGGGACUGAGAAACGGCCCAGACUCCUACGGGAGGCAGCAGUGGGGAAUAUUGCACAAUGGGCGGAAGCCUGAUGCAGCAACGCCGCGUGAGGGAUGACGGCCUUCGGGUUGUAAACCUCUUUUAGCAGGGAAGAAGCGAAAGUGACGGUACCUGCAGAAAAAGCACCGGCUAACUACGUGCCAGCCGCCGCCGUAA